UUUAUCAAGAUGUUCUGAAACAGGUCCCAAAUGAGCAGAAGUAUCCAAACCCUAACAUCUCUUUUUUUGUGCUGUUCUAGGAAUUGAGCUGCAAUUGCUGGCUGACAGGUCCUGCAGUUUCAGAGGGGGCAGCACCCUGCAGUGCUGAUCCAGUGGGACCCUGAGCACUGUGUUGCCAAGGAACGGACAUACUGGUGCCGAAACGGGGGCAACCGCUCUGCCCUCCCACCGAAAUGUUCCCGACUCACGUGAGCACCAAGGCCCCGAGCUGUAGCAGCAACUGGUGGGCACAGAAAGGGAUGGCUGUGGCCAUGGCUAUCUUCCCCCAGCUGCAGGUUUGGAAGGGCUGGGCCAGAAAAUUUCA